rnacentral:rRNA from 1 species
UACGAAGGGUGCAAGCGUUACUCGGAAUUACUGGGCGUAAAGCGUGCGUAGGUGGUGAGUUAAGUCUGUCGUGAAAGCCCCGGGCUCAACCUGGGAAUGGCGAUGGAUACUGGCUCGCUAGAGUGCGGUAGAGGAGAGUGGAAUUCCCGGUGUAGCAGUGAAAUGCGUAGAGAUCGGGAGGAACAUCAGUUGCGAAGGCGGCUCUCUGGACCAGCACUGACACUGAGGCACGAAAGCAGGGAGGCAACAGG